rnacentral:misc_RNA from 1 species
GUGGGACUAGAGUUGGGGGUGGGGGGAGGGGUAAAUGGUAGCUGCAUUGUGGGAACAUGUUAAUCCUACGUGUUAUGGGGUUUGUUGUAGACUGUAGAGUUUAUGGUACAGGAGAAGUGGGGAACCUAUCUAACUUUCUCUUCUUAUGUGUUCUUUGUAUGAAGGAUCUUGGUGGAUAUGGUUUCGAAUGUCCAUUGUUGCACCUUGUAUUCUGUUGUAGUUUCCAUCUGUAAGGAUUUUCCGAGUCUUGCGUCUUGGCUGUUAUAGAAAAGGGGUUUGAGUAUAAUCAUAUCAUGUCUCAUGAGAUAAACGGUUGUAUAUUUUG